AAUUGCCUUUUCUUUUCGAAUCAUUUGAUUCAUUUCUGAUUUUGCUCUUGGGUUGGUGGGGUUAGGUUCACCUCGAACAGAACCAGCUCCUGCUCCGCCAUUAACAAUUUUGAGAAGAACCGGUCUUCAUCUCGAUCGACUUCAGCUCAACUUUUAGGUGUUGAUUUUAAAAUCAAGAUGUUCACAAUUGGUGGGAAGAAGCUUAAGCUAAUAAUUUGGGACACAGUUAGUCUAUGGUGUGAAAGCGGGAAACAUGUACAAACUUUUCAGUUUGUAUAGCGCAUCUCUUUUUAAAACAAACUUUGCAUUACAAACUGAAACAGGGCAGUGAAGGACAGAAGGAGAGCAAAAACAUUCCCAAUAAUAAAAGAUACGUUGAAGGGUCUAUGAAGGACAGUUUAACCUCGUAAAACAGUCAAUCAAGUAUGCCAUGGAGUACAUGCCUAAACCUUGUGGCGGAUGUCACCAAGCCAGUUGGGAGGCCUUUUUAGGGGAAGAUUCAGUGUACAGGGCUGUAGGUCCUUUUGGUAAAGAAAAAGAAGUAUCGCUUUCCUCCACACAAUUUGUCGACGAAGUCGACAAACAAACAGUGUUCAUGGAGUGGCUGUAUGAAAAGAGGUGCUGUUGGAGCAAAAGAGUUUACUAAGUUCCGGGUGAAUGAGUUUGUUUUCUCUAAGUAUCAUGAAGAAAAAGUUAAUCGCUCAAGACAGUGGUUUUUGCAUGGCCGCAGACACCACAUGUAGGAGCAAGAAAGCCGAUGGGCCACAACGGUUGAUGCGCGGAGUUGGUGAUUUGGAGAAACCCAAAAUCGGCGGUUUCCAACAUCUAAUGGUAGAUGAAACCAACUUCCUUUCUUGGUGGCGAGAAAACAGUGGUGUCUGUCAGUUACACUGCCUUGGAAGUUAUCCGAGAGCUUCAGAAGCACUUCCCCAUCAAAAGAGCUCCAAUGAGUUUAAGGCUCAUCAUACCUGAAGAGAGUUCUCGAUCUCCAGUCUCAUGGAAAAGCUUAAUGCAUGGAAUGCAGAAAUUGUUUCGAAAGACGAUCAUCAGCUGUCGUUGGUCUGUGAGAUUGAGCCUAGUUUUCACCUAGACUGUGAUGCUUUGGUUAGGAACCUACAUGGUAGGUAAGCAAUACUUGCCGGAUCAGUGCACUUUGAGAAGGAUACCAACGUCGACCACUAUGAUGAUCAUGAGGACAUCAUUGAAUCAAGUCAUCUCCCUAAAGUAUCAGUGAACACUGCGGAGUUGGAAGAGAUCAAAUUAAGUGAGGGAUUACAGAAACAGUCGAUUUCCUUGGUAAGUAAUGUUGCUGAUAAGAUAGUUUCCACUUUCCACCGUUAAUGGUGAUGCUGAUAAGAUAGUCAAAUUAAGUAUAUCUUGUUUUGUAACUAGCAGUAAGUUGUUGAAAGGAGAGGAAUGCUAAGUGGAGUCUUUAAACGGAAUUUCUGCAAAACCAAGUAUACUUGUGGACUUCGACAUUUAUUAGAUUGCUCAGUCAUGUCCAGUUUAUUGAUCAAUGUUAAGAAAAUGUUAAAUUA